GCUCUGUGAUGAACCCCAUGCGUGUCAUCUGAGCCUGGCUUCCCUGUCUCGGCCCAGGUAGUGUUCUACUUCCCAGGGCUGUUGUCUGGACUGGCAGGGGGGCUCCCAGGCAAAGGAUAAAUCUUUGAAUCCUGAGAGC
ensembl:snoRNA SNORD10 small nucleolar RNA, C/D box 10